GAGGGCUGGGGGUCAGGAAGAAUGAAGUAAGGCUGAAUCUGUUGCUUUUGGCCCUGGUUUUGGGCAGGCUCCUCGCCCUUAGAGGUUUUCAAAGAAACUGGUGUCCAUUUAUUGUAGAACAUCAAGGUUUCUCCAUGCUGCUGCAUAUGCCUUUGUCUGCAACACCAAAAAUACUACUUUAUCCAGAAGUUCAGCUAAAAGUAUAGAAGACCUGAAUCUGGGGAUCUGCACUACCUGAACAGUGGCAAAGGACUAAACAAUUUGCAAUGUAAUACUCCAGAAUGUUGUAAUGUUUCAUUCUCUG